UACAGAGGGGCGAGCGUUGUUCGGAAUUACUGGGCGUAAAGGGCGCGUAGGCGGCCUUCUAAGUCGAACGUGAAAUCCCCGGGCUCAACCCGGGAACUGCGUCCGAUACUGGGAGGCUUGAAUCCGGGAGAGGGAUGUGGAAUUCCAGGUGUAGCGGUGAAAUGCGUGAGAUAUCUGGAGGAACACCGGUGGCGAAGGCGGCAUCCUGGACCGGU
rnacentral:rRNA from 1 species